rnacentral:tRNA from 12 species
GAAAAUCCGUCGACUUUUAAAAUCGUGAGGGUUCAAGUCCC